rnacentral:rRNA from 1 species
UACAGAGGUCUCAAGCGUUGUUCGGAUUCAUUGGGCGUAAAGGGUGCGUAGGCGGUCGGGUAAGUCUGAUGUGAAAUCUCACAGCUUAACUGUGAAACUGCAUUGGAUACUAUUCGGCUUGAGAGUUGGAGGGGGGACUGGAAUUCUCGGUGUAGCAGUGAAAUGCGUAGAUAUCGAGAGGAACACCAGUGGCGAAGGCGAGUCCCUGGACAACUUCUGACGCUGAGGCACGAAAGCUAGGGGAGCAAACAGG